rnacentral:rRNA from 1 species
UGGGGAAUAUUGCACAAUGGAGGGAACUCUGAUGCAGCAACGCCGCGUGCGGGAUGACGGCCUUCGGGUUGUAAACCGCUUUCAGCCAUGACGAAGCUUUUGUGACGGUAGUGGUAGACGAAGCACCGGCUCACUACGUGCCACCAGCCGCGGCGAUACGUAGGGUGCGAGCGUUGUCCGGAAUUAUUGGGCGUAAAGAGCUUGUAGGCGGUUUGUCGCGUCGAAAGUGUAAAAUCAGUGCUUAAAGCUGAGCCUGCUUUCGAUACGGGCUGACUAGAGGAGGGUAGGGGAGGAUGGAAUUCCCGGUGGAGCGGUGGAAUGCGCAGAUAUCGGGAGGAACACCAGUGGCGAAGGCGGUUCUCUGGACCUUUCCUGACGCUGAGAAGCGAAAGCGUGGGUAGCAAACAGG